rnacentral:rRNA from 1 species
GCGACCCCAGGUCAGGCGGGGCCACCCGCCGAGC